CCUACGGGAGUCAGCAGUGAGGAAUAUUGGUCAAUGGACGAGAGUCUGAACCAGCCAAGUAGCGUGAAGGAUGACUGCCCUAUGGGUUGUAAACUUCUUUUAUAUGGGAAUAAAAUGUUCCACGUGUGGGAUUUUGUAUGUACCAUAUGAAUAAGGAUCGGCUAACUCCGUGCCAGCAGCCGCGGUAAUACGGAGGAUCCGAGCGUUAUCCGUAUUUAUUGGGUUUAAAGGGAGCGUAGGUGGAUUGUUAAGUCAGUUGUGAAAGUUUGCGGCUCAACCGUAAAAUUGUAGUUGAAACUGGCAGUCUUGAGUACAGUAGAGGUGGGCGGAAUUCGUGGUGUAGCGGUGAAAUGCUUAGAUAUCACGAAGAACUCCGAUUGCGAAGGCAGUUCACUGGACUGCAACUGACACUGAGGCUCGAAAGUGUGGGUAUCAAACAGGAUUAGAUACCCGGGUAGUC
rnacentral:rRNA from 1 species